GGGUAUGUGGUGACCUGACUGUGACACCUGUCACCUCAUUGAUCACCAGGGGUGAAUGAGUUGAGCUUGUUGGUUAGACAGGUGUCCCCUUCCCUCACAAAUCCAUGUGCUAGAGAUCUAUAGUUGCUCCCUAAGUAGAAGAGGAUGACCUUCCCCAGAUACAUAUGUACUGGUUUAGGGUCAGUAAGUAGAUAUGCUCCCCAGCUAGAACCUCCAAGUAAGCUCUGAAGGUAAAUUUGUAGGAGAAUGUAAAAUAGUCAACUUUCCAAGACUUCAGACACAUCCAGGCAGGGUACUGCAUGAGGCAGACUGCUUUAU
ensembl:misc_RNA 7SK 7SK RNA